rnacentral:rRNA from 1 species
CAACCUCAACUCAUAUGGGACUACCCCCUGAAUUUAAGCAUAUUAAUUAGGGGAGGAAAAGAAACUAACCAGGAUUUUCUUAGUAGCGGCGAGCGAAAAGAAAUCAGUUCAGCACUAAGUCACUUUGUCUAUAUGGCAAAUGUGAGAUGCAGUGUAUGGAGCGUCAAUAUUCUAGUAUGAGAAAUUAACGAUUUAAGUCCUUCUUAAAUGAGGCCAUUUACCCAUAGAGGGUGCCAGGCCCGUAUAACGUUAAUGAUUACUAGAUGAUGUUUCCAAAGAGUCGUGUUGCUUGAUAGUGCAGCACUAAGUGGGUGGUAAACUCCAUCUAAAACUAAAUAUAACCAUGA